rnacentral:tRNA from 1 species
GGAAAUGUGCCUGAAAGAUAAGGAUCUCCUUGAUAGGGAGGAUAAUAGAGGCUCAAACCCUCUCGUUUCCU